GAUGAAGAACGUAGCGAAAUGCGAUACGUAAUGUGAAUUGCAGAAUUCAGUGAAUCAUCGAAUCUUUGAACGCACAUUGCGCCCGUCAGUAUUCUGGCGGGCAUGCCUGUUCGAGCGUCAUUACGCCCCUCAAGUCCCCUGUGGACUUGGUGUUGGGGAUCGGCGAGGCUGGUUUUCCAGCACAGCCGUCCCUUAAAUUAAUUGGCGGUCUCGCCGUGGCCCUCCUCUGCGCAGUAGUAAAACACGCGCAACAGGAGCCCGGCGCGGUCCACUGCCGUAAAACACCCCAACUUUUUAUAGUUGACCUCGAAUCAGGUAGGACUACCCGCUGAACUUAAGCAUAUCAAUAAGCGGAGGA
rnacentral:misc_RNA from 1 species